GUUAUGUGGUAAGAGAUGAGAAACAAAUGAUGGAAGGAAAUCUUAAAUUAUGCAAUUGGAACAGCUGGGGUAAUAACAUAUUUGGCUUGUUGUGGAUAAUUAUUAUGGUGACUUAAAUUGCACAUGAGUUGUUAAAUAUGAUGGAAAUGAUAUUGAUGGCUAUAGAAAUUCUUGUGAAUUGUUGUGGUUUCUCUUUGAGAAUUAUUGUUGUUG
rnacentral:lncRNA from 1 species